CCCUUAGAUGUUCUGGGCCGCACACGCGCUACACUGAAGGAGGCAGCGUGUACUCCUGGAUCGAAAGAUUUGGGUAACCCGCGAAUCUCCUUCGUGCUAGGGAUUGAGGUUUGCAAUUAUCCUUCAUGAACGAGGAAUUCCCAGUAAGUGCAAGUCAUAAGCUUGCGCUGACUACGUCCCUGCCCUUUGUACACACCGCCCGUCGCUACUACCGAUUGAAUGAUUUAGUGAGGACUUCGGACUGGGACCGAUGCGGCUUUCGGGCUGCGUCGGUAUUCUGGAGAGAUGUCCAAACUGUAUCAUUUAGAGGAAGUAAAAGUCGUAACA
rnacentral:rRNA from 1 species